GGCCCAUAGGUUGGGUCGUGACACCAUGCAAGGGUGAAAAAGAGUUCUUGUUGAGAAUUGUUGUUUUAAAGCUUAGAUUUCCUUUGGGAGAUUUCAAGAUCAAGAGUAGAAUUGAAGUUUCGUUCAUCUUUUCUCUCACACUCAAGUUCAAAGGUAAAAGAGCUAAUUCUUUCCUUCUUUUCCAUCUUCUAAGGGGUUACAAACAUUAUUUUAUGAGUUAGGUUGGGAAAUUCUAAGUCAUGAAUAGUUUGAGAAGUUUUGAAUUUGGUAGACAACAUUAAUCUAGAACACAAAUAUGUUGCAUUUUCUGCAUAAUUGUUGUUGAUGCUCGAUGGACCUUGGAUGACCCACGAGCCUCCCCCAUAUUAUGUAUAAGUUAUGUUUAUAAUAUGAUCAUGCAUGAUCAGCGGUGGUAAGACCAGGUGAGGCCUAACAAGCCCCUGACUCACUAUCUAUGAUAGAGGAACAGCAGAGGAGCUUCUUUAUGAGUCGGACACAUUAGUUAUGUUAUGCAAUAAGAGGAAGUCCUGAGGAACAUUUUAUGAGCUGGCCAAAUAGGUUUUGAAAAAUUGCUAAUAACAAAUCUUUCUUAUGUGAAUUGUUUAUGUUGCGUAAAAUCAUGCGAUUGAUGCAUUGCAUAUGUAUAAUUGGAAUAAAAUGAAAUAUGAUGAACUGUUAGUUUAUUCAUUAAGCUUUCCAAAGCUUACUCCCUUCUCUUAACCCCAAGAGCAAAACAACAGGAAUAGAGGGAUCAACUAAGAUGAUAGCCAUUAAGUAGAUUAGCACUAUUUGAUGUAUGUUAUGAAGUUUUGUUAUGGGACAGAUAAUUUAACAAUUUGUACUGUGCUUUGGAUGUAGAAUGUUGUAAGUUAUGUAAUGUAAAAGAUUUGUAUGAACUUUAUGUUCUCUAACUUUAAGCACUCUAUUAU
rnacentral:misc_RNA from 1 species